GGCCAGUUAGCUCAGUUGGUUAGAGUGUGGUGCUGAUAACACCAAGGUUGCGGGUUCGAUUCCAGUUCUGUCCA
rnacentral:tRNA from 1 species